rnacentral:lncRNA from 1 species
CAAAUUUUUGCAUCCACAUCCCAUGGAGGAAGCCCAUGUAUCCGCGCCCUGAAUUAGGGACAAGUAGGGCCAGCUAGAGAACUUAAACAAAGGACGAGUAGUGCUGUUACGUCGCACAUCAAUAUUCCUGUAACCUCCCAAUCCCAUGAAUGGUGCGUGGAGAGACUCGAUCGAUCAUACAGCUAGAGAACUGAAGAAAAAUGAAGGACGAGUUAAAUGGGACACAGCUAAUAUCCAUUAAUUAGCUAGUGAACUGAGGCCAAUUUAUAAAUCCUGCAGCUAAUAUCGAUCAUAAAGGUCUUUCUCUGACCCGAUGGACGUGCUCACUCUGACAGCACAAACAACCAGAUUGAAUUUGUUUAAAAAAAUGCUGAAAAAUAUACUGCCACAUAUUGAUAGCGCUGUAAAAAAAAAAGUGGAUGGGCUUUGCUUCUUCGUAAUUACUGCAUCGAUCCCCCGGCCCCCUUUUGAAUCAUAAAAUGUUCACAGUUCACAUCGGUCAUUGAACAAGAAAAUUAAUCCAUCAGUAAAUCCUGCGUGCUCCUUUUUAAUAAUAACAUGUUCACAGUUCACAUCGAUCGAGCUUCAGAUCACGACGGAGAGGGGAUUCUUGUACGUCUCACCACCAAACCGAUAAAACAAAAAUGCAUUUAUUCAAGGUUCAAGGUGUUCACAACGUGAGUUGGGUACAAUGUGACGAGUGAUGACCGACAAGUUGG